UACGUAGGGACCAAGCGUUGUCCGGAAUCAUUGGGCGUAAAGCGCGUGUAGGCGGUUCGGUAAGUCUGCUGUGAAAGUCCAGGGCUCAACCCUGGGAUGCCGGUGGAUACUGUCGGACUAGAGUACGGAAGAGGCGAGUGGAAUUCCCGGUGUAGCGGUGAAAUGCGCAGAUAUCGGGAGGAACACCAAUUGCGAAGGCAGCUCGCUGGGACGUCACUGACGCUGAG
rnacentral:rRNA from 1 species